GAUCCUGUAGCUCAGUUGGUUAGAGCGUGGCUCUUAUGAGUCAGAUGUUGCGAGUUCAAGCCUUGCCAAAACCA
rnacentral:tRNA from 1 species